AAGUCGUAACAAGGUUUCCGUAGGUGAACCUGCGGAAGGAUCAUUAUUGAAUGAACUUGAUGUAGUUGUAGCUGGUCCUCUUGGGGACAUGUGCUCGCUCGUCAUCUUUAUCUUUCCACCAGUGCACACUUUGUAGACCUGUAUAGUACUUUCCGAGGUAACUCGGUCGGGAGGAUUGCUGUGCGUUAAUGCCAGCUUUCCUUGCAUUAUUCAGGCCUAUGUUUUUCAUAUACCCCAAAGCAUGUAACAGAAUGUAUUAUUGGGCCUUGUGCCUAUAAACAAUAUACAACUUUCAGCAACGGAUCUCUUGGCUCUC
rnacentral:misc_RNA from 1 species